rnacentral:lncRNA from 1 species
GGGAUGAUGGGUGAGCUACCAAGGCUAACUUUUUCCUGAGGACAUUGAGUUAGGGAAGUGGCCUCUCCUUGAGGGAAGGAGCCAGAUGACUUCUCAGAGAACAACAACCAUAUUCAAAAUAUUCUCAAGUUUCUUUUGUUUCUUCUUGUCUGCAUCUGAUAUCCAGGACAUUAUUCCACAGGAAAAGGUUAACAGGAGAUCAAGAUCGGCCAGCUCCUACAGCAAAAGAAGUACUAAGAGGAAAGUUUAUAGUGAUAAGCACCUACAUAACAAAAAACUUCAAAUAAACAACCUAAUGAGGCAUCUUAAGGAAUGAGAAAAGAGCAAACUGAAUAC